AUUGAACGCUGGCGGCAUGCUUUACACAUGCAAGUCGAACGGCAGCGGGGAGGAGCUUGCUUCUCUGCCGGCGAGUGGCGCACGGGUGAGUCAUACAUCGGAACGUGUCGAGAAGAGGGGGAUAACCACCCGAAAGGGUGGCUAAUACCGCAUAAAUUCUGAGGCAGAAAGCUGGGGACCUAGGAAUAGGCCUAGCGCUUUUUGAGCGGCCGAUGUCGGAUUAGCUAGUUGGUGAGGUAAAGGCUCACCAAGGCGAAGAUCUGUAGCGGGUCUGAGAGGAUGAUCCGCCACACUGGGACUGAGACACGGCCCAGACUCCUACGGGAGGCAGCAGUGGGGAAUUUUGGACAAUGGGGGCAACCCUGAUCCAGCCAUGCCGCGUGUAUGAAGAAGGCCUUAGGGUUGUAAAGUACUUUUGUUAGGGAAGAAAAGUCAGCUGUGAAUAAUGGCUGAUACUGACGGUACCUAAAGAAUAAGCACCGGCUAACUACGUG
rnacentral:rRNA from 1 species